CCUCUAGAGAUAGAGGAGUGCUCGAAAGAGAGCCGUAACACAGGUGCUGCAUGGCUGUCGUCAGCUCGUGUCGUGAGAUGUGGGUUAAGUCCCGCAACGAGCGCAACCCUUGUCAUUAGUUGCUACGAAAGGGCACUCUAAUGAGACUGCCAGUGACAAACCGGAGGAAGGUGGGGAUGACGUCAAGUCCUCAUGGCCCUUAUAGGUGGGGCUACACACGUCAUACAAUGGCUGGUACAAAGGGUUGCCAACCCGCGAGGGGGAGCCAAUCCCAUAAAGCCAGUCGUAGUCCGGAUCGCAGUCUGCAACUCGACUGCGUGAAGUCGGAAUCGCUAGUAAUCGUGGAUCAGCAUGUCACGGUGAAUACGUUCCCGGGUCUU
rnacentral:rRNA from 1 species